rnacentral:rRNA from 1 species
UACGGGGGGAGCAAGCGUUGUUCGGAUUUACUGGGCGUAAAGGGCGCGUAGGCGGCCACCGCAAGUCGACUGUGAAAUCUCCGGGCUUAACCCCGGAAAGGUCAGCCGAUACUGCGGGGCUAGAGUGCAGAAGGGGGCAACUGGAAUUCUCGGUGUAGUGGUGGAAUGCGUAGAUAUCGGGAGGAACACCAGUGGCGAAGGCAGCUCGCUGGGACGGUACUGACGCUGAGGCGCGAAAGCGUGGGGAGCAAACAGG